rnacentral:rRNA from 1 species
UACGUAGGGUGCAAGCGUUGUCCGGAAUUAUUGGGCGUAAAGAGCUCGUAGGCGGUUUGUUGCGUCGGCUGUGAAAUCCCGAGGCUCAACCUCGGGUCUGCAGUCGAUACGAGCAAACUAGAGUGUUGCAGGGAGACUGGAAUUCCUGGUGAUAGCGGUGAAAUGCGUAGAGAUGUGGAGGAACACCGAUGGCGAAGGCAGCCUCUGGCCAGC